UGGGCUGGUUGAAAAACCUCGGUCCACCGACACGGCGUGGGGAUCCCGC
rnacentral:ncRNA from 17 species